CCUAAGGAUACAUUUUGUAGGUAUGAAUUCCCUCAUCCCUUCAACAACUUGCUAUAUCUUCUACUAACAGCUGCUCAGGUACUUCUUCCAAACAUAAGUUGAAGGGCAUUCUGUCCUGGUUGGGUAUGCCAGUCCAGCAUGCAGCUUUACACAGUGUUGUCUGAGAUUGUCAAACUGUCAUUUCUGAGAACAGGAUCUGUGCUAGCGCAGUGCAGGAGUGCGCUCUCAGUUGGUGCCCUACUGCCAGUAUCAGCAGGGACUUUGUUAUUCGUUUUUGCUCUGUGUAAAUAUUGUGGUGACAUAAAAAAAAUACACUCUUUUUCUAAGAGUGGCUAGUCCACUUCUACAGCACAUAAUGGUAGGAAAGGAUUGUCAUAAUUACUUAUACAGUGUCUUUGACAAGCUUUGAAUGAUGACGUUUAGAAGUCCAGUGUCUUCACUCACAUUAAUUUGAUUUUCAAAUGGCACUGACAAUGUUCUGUAUCAAAGACAGAAAUAGUUUGCAAAGGCAAAUCCAGCUGCAAGGCGUUAAGACAAAGUGUUAGAAAGAAAAUUGAUGAAAGAGGAAGGAAGCAAUAGACCAUACAUGAAAGAGAUUAUAAAGAGAAUAAUCCAAAGUGCGUGUUGACAUCCUUAAUUCAGUCCUGUAUUUUAUCAUGGUAUGUCUGAAGGGUUUAAAAGCUAGAUUUGCAGACAGUAAUGACAUGGGGAGCACAGGAAAUUAUAAUGUGUUACAUCUAGAUUCAGUUCAUGCAGAGACAGGGACAAAAUAUUUCAAAAGAAACAAAAUCAAACCACAUUAAGAAUGGCAAAUACUGCACAUGACAGUAUUUUAUAGCAUUAAAAUUUUCAGUUAACUAGCAUAUUUGGCAAUCUCAUUGGGUUUUAUUCCUGAACUGUCACUGCCAGAGCAGCAGGAUUGCCCUUCUAAUCUGCCCCCCAGUCAUACUGUUGUUGGUAUUAAAAAGUCCAAAUCAGGCUGCAUCAGUGCAUCUGUGGUUUGCUCUGUGCCUUGCUCAUCCAGUUGAUUCUGUCAGUAUAGACUGGGUUGUGCAUACAUACCUGGAAAUAAUUCAGUCUGCCCUGAACAUGCACUUAGUCUUCAGGUUUUAUUUAGUAGUGUGACAGAAUAAGGUUACAGAUAUGUUUUCUCUGCUUCAAUUGACUCUUCUUUUGUACAGGAAUAGAAAAGAAGCCAUGGUGUUCACUUCUAGCAAAGGCUAGCACUGUUGUGGUUGUUAAGAUGAUGUGUCAACUCUGUAGCCGCUAUUCAGGGAGAAGCUGUAAUGAAUGACUACUUCCUUGUGAUCUGUAGGUAAUGAAGGUUUAGAAUCUGUGUUUUUGCUUCACCCGAAAAGGAAGUUGUGCCCCACUUUUUAAAACAUUUGGGUGGCCCGUGAGGUCUUCAAGAGCAUCUUUCAGAAAUUCUUCUGGAGUUUCUGAAAAUCAUGUUGGCAGCCUUCCAGCAACUUCAGGUGCCUAAUUCCUCCUGAAAAUCCAGGCUUUUACCCCUAGCCUUUUCACCCAGCUGUGUUCCAUCUGAAGGCAGGAGGCUUCAGUUCCCUCAUGCCUCCUAUAAACCUUCUACAUUCCUACCUGGCAGCUUCUCCAAGAGCGAAUUCUGUAUCACUCCAUUACUUACAGAAGGAUCAGCAGUGUUGACCUUGCUUUACACUGAGGUGAGUUUGACACUAAAAUGCUCUCGAGAUAGCACAUUUUCUUUUCAGACAGUGCUACAGAUAUAAAAAACAAUUGCCAUUUUAAAAGUGCCUGUAGUGGUGUAGUAGAAACACUUCCUCUUGCUAUGAACAGGUCUGCUCUUCCUUAGAGGGCAGCAGGCUAUUAUGCAAGUAGAGCUUUUCAGUGUUAGCACUUUUGCCUGCUCUUGCACUCUUCAGGAUUGCUGCAAUGACUGUAUUUGCAUUUGCUUCAUUAACCAUCUGGGCUAUCACCUCACAGCACUCAGACAUUAAAACUACUGAGGUAAUACUCAGGAAUGUGAAGACCACAGGCAUGUGGCCAAGUUACCUUCAGUUCAUCUUGGAGGUGAGUGGUUUCAUUUCUAUUGCCAUUUUGUUAAACAAGAGAGAAUUGUUUCUUUGGAUUGAUUCAUUUCUGAAAGGAUCAUGCAAAUGGAAAUCUCAAGCUAUCAAUACCGUAAUUACAUAUUCUAGUUCAGUAAUCUCUUCUACUUUGCCAUGCUACAUUAUUUAAUUUCCUCUUGUCUCAUGUGAACAUCUGUAACAAGAUUGCAAUGAAAAACGGUGUGCCGUGUGGUUAAGAAAAUGAACACCAAGUGACCUGAGUGCUCUGAAAUCAAUUGUAUGACAAAAGAGAUGGGCUUAAGUGGGGAGAAAAUGUGUUCAUUCUCAUGAGAACACAAGAUCUGAACCAAAUUUCAUGUGAAUUUUGUGGAACUCUAAGAGAAUUUAACUAAAGUUCCAAAGGUGAUGGUUGCUCCUUAUUGCCGAAAUGUACUCUCUAAUCCUAAAAAUCUCUAUAUUCUGGAAACCAAAGAUACGAUUAUUUUCAGUGUUGAAUUCAAGCUUCUGUUGCUCUCUCAGUGCUUUAUCGGUAAACUGAAUACUGUUAUCAAAGAUCUAUAAUUGAAUAUACAUUUUACAUCCUGUAAAUAAUACAGGCUUCAGAAGUAUAUUUGAUGGCAUUAAAGUCAAACGAUGGCUUACCCUAAAAAAUGCUCAAAUCCUUAAAUCCUGUGCAGCUUAGCUCAGGAAAAGAUCCCUGGAAACAUUGCUUCUGAAUACAGUUCUAGUGGUAAGACAGUUGCAUAGAGUAAAUUUUGCUAAUUUCUACAUUCUCUGAAAGCCAGAACACAUCAGUCUUUAUAUCUGGUGAUCAGCACCAUGUAUUUCAUCUGGAAGUGAAAUCAUCACCAGUGCAGAUGUUUGUGUACCUGGCCUUUGUGGUCCGAAAAGGUGGGCAGCAUAAUUCAGGUAGACCAUUCAAGCAGCCUCACAAGAUAGUUCUGGAAGAACAGCCACAGACACAUGUGUUAAUGGGAGAAUAUUCUAUUUCUGUGCUGGAAAUGCUUUCUGUAUCAAUUUAACUUUAAAUAUGUAGGCAUUUGUCCUGAACAUCUUUGUUUAGCCUUUUGUGGUGGAAAGAACUACCUUCUUAUGUGGAACUUGGCUGCAAAGAUCGAUGACCAGGUUUUGACUAUUACUACAAAGGAAAAAAACACAAGUGGAGUCUGAGUCGUUGUGGCUGUGCAAGACUCUUCGCACAGAGAAGGGAUUGGACUCUCAUCUGGAUUUUCUGACGCUCAUUGUUCAGGUACUAACUGCAAACUUAUUCUGAAAGUAAGUUUGGGAGGGUGUACAUGCCUGUGGAUUUCUUUCACAUUUAUGUGAAACCUAAUUAAACAAGAUGUUUGGUUCGAUAAUCAGUUCCACAAAGCAGGCAAGUGGGGUUUUUUUUGUAUUUUUACUAGCCUCUGUUAACUUAUAACCUUUUGAAAGGGAGUAUGUGAAGAAACAGGUCAUUACAUCAGCCCUCACCAAAGGAAAGAGUACAGGAUUCUUGAGGGAGGAGUACUGCUUGGCCUUCCUGGCAAUAGGUAAGAGUUUGUCUCUGGCACUGACUGCGUCUUCCACAAAGUUUUCCAUAUAGAACAUAUCAUAUGUUCAUGCUCUGUGCAACUAACUGUGAAAUACUUUUAAAUAGAAUGAUUGUUCAGUCCCAAUUUCAAAAUAUUCAUUUUUAAAAUUUUCCUUUUUUUUUUUAGUUUCUUGAGUCAUAACAGUCAUUAGCAUAGGGGGCAUUCUCGUAAAUCCAUCAGAUACUCAUGGAAGUGUCUCCAAAUAAAGUUAAAAUCUGUAAGUAAGCAAUUCUUUACAGCAUAUUGUAUAUCUGAGUGGGAACUUUUAAUUCUGGUGAAGGUCAGCUGUACUUCCUAGUUUCAAAGCCACUGUGUGACCUGAACUGUGAGCUCAGCCUCCCCUUCCCAGAAAUGGAGGAAGACAAAGGAAGACAUUUUGGGGGGAUAAAACCCUGUAACAGCAAUAAAGACCUCACUGGAGCAGAAAGAUGCAACCCCUUCUUCCCUGUGCCUGUUGGAGUUGGUUUUCCCUGGUGUUUGUGAGGUCUGUGAGAAAUGUUUGGAUAAGAUCUUUUGGUGCUGCUCCCAGAAUACGGUUCAUGUGAUGUCAAAAAAUCCUGAUGCUUUGCCAGGGACCUUUUUGUCAUUGGGAAUUUAGAGACUGGGUUUGUAAAGGGCUGGCUGAGCCAGAAUACAAAUUAAAACUCCUGAGCAACCUAUUCUGCCAGCCUGUCUUCUAUGAAAGGCCACCAGGGACCUGUACCAGGAGACACCUCCCAAAAGGAGAAUGAGCAAUGGAGCAAAGGUGACUAAGUUUGGUAGCACUGCAGAGCUGGAGAUGAAACAUCAGUGUCCAGGCCAUGGAUGUGCACUGAAAUAUGAGUUAUUGGAAUAAAUAAAUGUGGUCAUUGUAACCUUCCUUCAAGCCAGAGUAUCUUUGUCUUGAAGCAUCUGUCUUUCCAUCUGUAACCUGUAAGUUUCGUUCACUGGCAAGGCAGCCCUGGGUGAAUGGAAGAUAAGCAUCUGACAGUUUUCCUCACUAGUUUCCAUUCACCUCUUAAAGUCUGGAAUGGCAGACUUCUGAGUAAAUGCAAGGAAUUUAUUUUGAAUCUGCCAUAGAUGUUCACAGUAGUUAUUUAAGGUGCAGUCUGUCACCACCUGCUUGCAAUAUACAAAAGAUGAGAAGGAAGCAGAUUUUCCAGAAACCUUAGAACUGCAGUGAUCAUCCGUUAGGCGACAGGUAAAUUGUUCCUCCUUCCUGAUGAGGAUUUUCGCUUCAAUGAAUGUGAUCAAAAAGUUGUACCAGGUGACAAAUGUCAAUGUCUGGUAGUUUUUCAGAACUUUGGACCCCAUGGGAAAAGUGCAAGGAAAUUAAGAUGGGAAAGGAGACUGGAGAAGAAGGUAAAACAAGAAAUAGACAAAAAGGGAACUUAUUAGUGAAAAACAUAAUGCCAUUGAUCGGUACCUGCUUAGUGGAGAUGAAAAGGUGAGAAACAACAUCCUAAUAUAUCAUGUAUAUCACAGAAUCAUAGGAUGGUUUGAGUUGGAAGGGAUGUUAAAGAUCCUCUAAUUCCAACCACCCUGCUAUGGGCAGGGACACCUUCCAGCAGAACAGGUUGCUCAAAGCCCCAUCCAGCCUGGUCUCAAAAUAUCAUAAUAUAGUAUUAAUUAUAAUAUAAUCUCAAAAUGCUGUUCUACUUGCUGAUGGAUAUAUCAUGUUACAACUGUUAGAAUCCUGAGAGGCUAUUUUGUCCUACUUCGUGUUCCUUUUUCUUAUGAUAUCUGUCUUGUUUUCACUCCAUAGUUUCCAUUAUGAUCUCAUAUCAGGAAGCUCUUGAACAGGUUAAGUGUUCUGGGGUCAUAAUCAUAAUUAAAUCCACCUUUUGAUUGCUUAAUUUACACUAAUGAAUAAUUUUCAAAUUGGAAAUACUAGUUUUUCUCCCUAAAGAUCAAAUUUGAAAUUGUAAUAAGAAUUUUACAUUUUCAUUGAGCUGUAACCAGAUUGGUUUUUUUCACAACUUUGCAGAGUUUAUUAAUAAUCUUUGCUGUUUACUGUCAUCUGCAUAUAUAAAGUAUCACUGGUGGGCUGUGUUUGGCUUUACUAUGAACAGUUUCCCAUCUGACUUACUGUAGAUAGUCUCAGCCCUGUGUUCAUUUGACAUGAUUUGCCUUGAUUUUCUCAGUCAUCACUCCACUGGGUCAACAGACAGAUCAGCUGGAGAAGUUAUCACAAGUGCAUUUACAUGUCCAUAUGAAAGGACUUAUGGCUAGAGGUCCAUUUGGUUUUAAUGUUCAUUGACCAGCACCAAUGCCACUUAAUUACUUAAAAUAGAUACGCUAAGAUUGAGAAAAGGGUACAUAUUUUUAAUGAGAUAUAAAUGAGAUAAAAAAGGAAAGUGCUGAUAUGAAUCUGCAGAAAAGUUCUUGAGCUUGUCCCUGACUUGCCAGAUGCUCUCCUGCUCCCUCAGUUACAGUGUGUUCAUAUGAGCCACACCAUCUCAGUUCAAUUUGAAGCCCUGUGCCAGCUCCAUCUUCUAGAAACCAGCACAUCCAUGCUCCUUCUAUGCACUGCUGUCCUGACCUUCACUGGCCACUAUCUGGUGCUUCCCAGCAACACUGAAGAAGAGAAAAUUGACUCUAUCAUACUUUGAAACUUGGAAAACAGAAUGGUUUAAAAAUUACUGGAAAAUGAGCUAAACAUGUACUACUUAACAAUUAUGGAUGAUGCCAGUAGAACUAGGUUUGGAGUCACGAUGGAAAGUAGGCAAACUCCUGAAUAUAUUCCUCUUUUGUUAUUAUGUGAAUGGUACGCUCCAGUCAUCAAGUUCCUCUACCAAAUCACUUGCUCAGAAAGGAAAAAUGAGGAAGCUGGCGAAUGCUGAUAAGGUAACUUCAUGAAAUGCAAAGAAAAAGUUAAUAGAUUUUGUACUUCUGCUAAGUCAAGGACUUAUAAUGUUUGUUAAAACGACUUUUAUCUUUUUCAAACAAAAUGACUUACAUAAUUUUUUUUUCCACUCACUUGCAUCCUUUCACUAAGUACAAUAAAACUAUGGUUGGUCAUCUUGCCAGGUUUUUUGCUACCUUAAGAAAUGAGACAAAUGACAGAUAACCAAUGGUUUAUAAUGACAAACACAUCGGUUUCUACUCUUGUUCUCUUAUCUUCUAAACCAGAAAUAAGCAGCAAUGUUGGGCAGUCAUUACUAAGAUUUGCAUGAUUUGUUUGAAAUUAGACUUUGUUGUGUGCCAUCUUCAUUAAUAGUGCUCUUUUUACAUGGGACUCGGGCUUUACAUAUGACUCAGUGCUCCCCCCUUUUUCACAGCUGAAUUGGUGAUGUUAAUCAUUCCACUUCAGGGUAAAAAUCUAAUCACAGUGACACAACACAGGGAGACUUUGGGCUGAAGAAAGUACAAUUCAGAAGCCCAAGCAUCAAAAAUCAAAGGAUCUAGGGAAAAUAUAGUAAUAAAGGCAGCCAGCCAUCCCCAAGUAUGCAGUGAGAUUCCAGCAGGUGACAGGAUGCCAGGGUCUACAUUCUUAUCAAAAUAAGACUUAGAAGAAACUUAAGUGUUUUUAAGGCUUGCACAGUAGUAAUGAGACAUCUAACAGAAACUAUGCAUUUAGAGCUACUGUAUGUCCAGUCAGCCUCUGUAGUGCUGUUUCAUGAUCUUUCCAAGUCUUACAGCACACACAGUGAUCUCUAAUGGGUUUUAUUUAAGGUUUAAACAGAGAUCUGCUUAGAAUGAUACACUGAAAUAAAAUCACACCAAAGCUAUUAUAUAGUCUAUUUUAAUGGAGUUGUUUAUAUCAGCACCAUCUUCAGAUGAAACUCAUAACACUCCAUUAAAUACUACAUUUUCCUACAUGGUUCCAAAAGCAUGGCAAAAUACUAAUACCACAGUUACUGCUUCAGCUUCUUCGCAUGGAGUUAGAUCCCUGACCCAGCAGAAGGUUUAUAUGGUGCAGAGCCUUAGGUUAGGUGACUUCAACUAGGAUGUCUUAGUUAAGUGCUUUUAGUUGACGCAGUCAGCCUUCAGUAGAAACACAAGCAUUAUCACACAAGAAUGAGCUUAGUGCCAUCUCAUUAGUCUGUACUUGCAUGACUGGCUUUAGUUCAGGAGCUUGUACCCCGUAUCUCUCCUAAUUUUUGCUAUGCUAGGCAAGAAUAAACAGUUUUAACAUCA